AAGCCAGCUAAUGAGUCUGCUUACCUGAAUGUGUACCUGCAGAAAUUCAGAGAAUGUUGGCUAUAGUAAAGCCACGUUAUCUUUAAAGACCUGGAGGUCAUUAAGGUCCCUAAAAAUGCUAUAAGG